rnacentral:lncRNA from 13 species
CCUUUCAGUGCCAUAUGUUCUCUCUCAAGAAGUUAAAAGCGCAGCAUUUCUUGUUUAUUAUAUUGGCAUAAAGAAGAGGAGUACCUGGACUUACUUUUCCAUUAAUAUGCCAAAGUACAUAUUCUGAGGAAAUUUCUGAUUCAAAACAUCUCUACAUUCUGGAAAAAAUGUAGCAGACAUUGUUAAUGCAACAACAUCCUUAUAGAAGAAUAAGAAAAAUUCCUAGAGGCUAAAAAAGAAAGAAAGGGAACCUUGGCUCUACCUCUGUACAAACCUCAUAAACAUAGCUGGUCCAAGAAGAAUUAAUCUCAUAAAAACGAUGGAAUCAUUAGUUCCUCCAACUCUGCUUAAAAUGGGACAACUGAACCUAACAGCUGAAAGCAACUUCUUCAUUGCCAUGGAUGAUAACAGUAUACAUAGGAGAGACGCCUUAUCCAAAUUUGGCACAUCUCUUUCUAGUCAUUGGUGCAGGCUGCACACAAAUCUUUGCCUCAGAGUUUUAUUCCUGGUAAGGAAGUUGUCCCUAUGGAGGUUAAUCAACUUGCUGAAGUUCAUUCCACCAGUAAAAGGUAGUGCCAAUAUUCCAGCCCAGACAGUUUGGCUCCAGAAUACAAAAUGUAAUACAAAGUGUAACACCAUGGAAUCCCUGCUUCCUUCUUGCUGUCUCUAUUUGACUGAUAUCAUCACUCACUCUCCCUCCCUACCCCCACUGUACCGACCAACUCAAAAAUACAUAAAUGCCAUCUGUUUCAUUAUCAAUUCAGUGCUAAUCAUCGCUAAUAGGUAAGUUUUACGGAAAUAGUUAAAGUUUUUAAAACAAAUCAAUUAGGGACAAAAAAAUACCCCACAACAACUCUUAUAGCCAUGAAAAAUUAUCUGCUACUUUCAAAUUCACAUACUUGACAGAAACAAUUCCCAAUCAAGUUAAUUUUAU